AUUGUAAAAUCUUCGGCAUAUGUGUUAAUUGCCUCUCCCCUUCCCUUCCAUGAACUUUUGCAGACUUAUUCAAGAGACGACGAUGCGAAACUCGAGACCACGUGUACACGGCUGUUGGGUGUUCUCAAAAGGCAUGAACAUCUGAAAGAGCGUCUCUCGCGAAGAAAAGAUACCUCCUGUUUGGACCCGUAGGAGACAUAAUUGAAGGGAAUGAUCUGAUCUCAUCAUCUGCAAGUCUCAAGGCAGUCAGACACGAGAUGCUCGCCAGUACAUGAUUACCCGAUAAACCAGAUGCUCGCCACUGCAUGAUUACCCGAUAAAAUAAUGAGCACACAUACAUAGUCCAUAAGAUAUGUCAAGUGAAGGGACUCCAAUGUACUGGACAAAAGCUGCAAAGUCUGUUCCUGCAUCGGCCACUCUUGCAAUAGUUGGCAUAUGCUGAAAGAAACACUUUGAGAAGAAGACAAAUUACACUCUGGUUACUAACCGUGACAUUUCGUUGGAAGAGAUUUUGUUCUCGGUGAUUGGGCAUAGUGAUUUUGAUGCAUCGCUUGAUCUCAUUCUCACAGAGGAUAUCAAUGGGGUGAAUGCCGGUACUCAACCAAUUGAUGCACAUGGACAUGAUGACUCUCUAGCGUUUAUGGACCAACCAACCUGUAAUCAUGGACCUUAUUGUCUUGUAGACCAUUUGGUGUUUCGAGUGUUUUGGAGCUUGCACUUUGUGCAUGUAGAUACAAACUUGUGUGUUCUGGACCAUGUGAAGUCUCUCAUAGUACCCAAUAGUCCUUAUCUUCUUGUGACUUGUGUGUUCUAGAUGAUUGUUAAGAUGGUCAAAACUAUGCUUCCUCUAGGUUAA